rnacentral:rRNA from 1 species
GAAAAUCCCUUCGGGGGUGAGUACAGUGGCGCACGGGUGAGGAACGCGUAGGUAAUCUACCGUUUGGCGGGGGACAACACUCCGAAAGGAAUGCUAAUACCGCGUAAGACCACGUUCACUACGGUGAGAGUGGUAAAAGGUGCCUCAAAGCACCACCAAACGAUGAGCCUGCGUCCCAUCAGCUUGUUGGUAAGGUAAUGGCUUACCAAGGCUAAGACGGGUAGCUGGUCUGAGAGGAUGAUCAGCCACACUGGCACUGGAACACGGGCCAGACUCCUACGGGAGGCAGCAGUGAGGAAUAUUGGGCAAUGGGCGAAAGCCUGACCCAGCCACGCCGCGUGUGUGAUGAAGGCCUUCGGGUCGUAAAGCACUGUGGGGAGAGACGAAAAAGCGCAGCAGGAAAUGGCUGCGCCUUGACGGUACCUCCUUAGCAAGCACCGGCUAACUCUGUGCCAGCAGCCGCGGUAAUACAGAGGGUGCGAACGUUGCUCGGAUUUACUGGGCGUAAAGCGCGUGUAGGCGGACUCGCAAGUCGGUUGUGAAAUCCCUGGGCUCAACCUAGGAACUGCAUCCGAAACUGCUUGUCUUGAGUAAUGGAGAGGGUGGCGGA